rnacentral:sRNA from 1 species
CUUUGUAUCACCACAGGCUUUCUUUGUAUUUCCAUAGGGCGUUACUCACCAGCAGUGGUAUCUGUUCAAUGACUUUCUUAUUGAACCUAUUGAUAAGCAUGAAGCUGUGCAGUUUGACAUGAAUUGGAAAGUACCUGCAAUCCUUUAUUAUGUCAAACGGAAUCUCAAUUCCAGAUACAACCUGAACAUCAAGAACCCUAUUGAGGCAAGUGUCUUGCUGGCUGAAGCCUCGCUGGCACGGAAGCAGCGGAAAACACAUACUACCUUUAUUCCACUGAUGCUGAAUGAGAUGCCACAGAUUGGGGACCUGGUGGGUCUGGAUGCUGAGUUUGUCACCCUUAAUGAGGAGGAAGCAGAGUUACGCAGUGAUGGUACCAAGUCUACCAUUAAACCAAGCCAGAUGUCAGUAGCCAGGAUUACCUGUGUUCGGGGCCAGGGACCCAAUGAGGGUAUCCCCUUCAUUGAUGACUACAUCUCUACCCAGGAGCAGGUGGUGGAUUACUUGACUCAAUACUCGGGUAUAAAGCCUGGUGACCUCGAUGCCAAAAUUUCCUCCAAGCACCUAACAACUCUCAAGUCUACC